rnacentral:tRNA from 1 species
CGGGCUGUAGCACAGCCUGGUAGUGCGCUUCGUUCGGGACGAAGAGGCCGUGGGUUCGAAUCCCGCCAGCCCGACCA